GCUUAUUUUAUGCACAGACCCCCCUAGGGGGUAUCCAUUCAACACAACACAAUGAGUUCCAUGGAGUUGCUUGGUUUAGUCCAACAAAUUCAAACUUCGUGCCCAAACCAAGCAACAACCAAUCAGCUGAAAGAGCGAGAACCAAAAGGAAAGGAGUUUUGCCGACCCAAUCAGAAGAAAGGGCACAAAACCCGGUUGCACCAAUCGGCACCCAAUCUGGAGGAAGGGUGCGAAGCCCAGUUUGAACGGGCGCUCCUUCUCUAAAUGGUAGACUGCGCCCUGCAGCGACCAAUCAGCGCUCACUCGUGCUGAACAAUCAGGAGAAUGGCGCAAACCCAGUUUGAAUGGGCACUUCUUCUCCAUUGGUUGGCACAAACUUCCAUGUGGCCAGCGGGACUCUGCGGCCGUGAGACUGACUCACAGCUCCAGAGAUUCUCUGGUGGCGUGUGUCCCUCUCUCCGGUGGAUAUCCCCACGCAGAUAUUCACUGGAGUGAGCUCUCUCCUGGGCAGCUAUGAG